rfam:Synechococcus phage S-CAM7 isolate 0910CC49, complete genome.
AAAGGUUUCUCACUCUUCCUUAAAGAGUGAGUGGUGCGGAUGAUUUCAUCGCAUGGUUUUGCGAUUCCAUUUAAAGAUCGUAUGGCGAGCAUGUUA